rnacentral:lncRNA from 1 species
CCCCGUGUUGGUGUCCAGGGGACUGCUCUGGGCCUGAUUCUGCUGUGCCUGCUGCUCGCCUACCCCCAGGGGCAUCCUCUGGCGCUGGGCAUUUGGACAUUUGGAGACCUAGAGUGGAAAGGUCGCCCCGCCCUAUCCCUGCCCCCACAGUCUCUCUCUUGCGCCAUCACAGCCACCCUCCCUCCAGCCUCUACCUCUGCCCUCCCGAUGCUACUGAGUGCCGCCUCCAGCAGCCUCUGUGCACCCAGAGCAUCCGGGGAAAUGGGGAUCUCCUUGAGCAGACGGCAGGCAGUUCUCAGGCUCGCGUGGCAAAAGCAGGUGGAGGAGGGGCUUGGGAGGAGACAGCACUUGGGGAAGCCGUCACCACUCUUCGUGGGGAGGCCACUGUGAAAUCUCCAUCUCUUUCUGUCUUUCAGGAGCCAGUGUUUGCUCAGGGCCCCAAGCCCAGGAUCACUCAGAGAACCUUCUCUGGAUGGGCUUGGAUUGGUCCCGGAGGACCCAGGUGUACUGCUACCUGGUGCACCGGGAUGGCCAGGCAUGGCCCCAAGGGGAGCCAGGAAAGACCCCUGUCCCACAGCUGCUCUGCCACUGGUUGCUCUUGGUCCCCACGCUCUGAAUUCCUGGACCUGAAAACCAAAGCAAUCUGGUCAGCCCCAGGGACAGAGUGGCCCAGUGUCACACCUCCUGCUUUCCUCAGCUGCCAAGCUGGAAGCCUGAUCCUGAUUGAAGAGCUCUGCCUGCCUCACCCCGGGGACUGA